rnacentral:rRNA from 1 species
UACGUAGGGGGCAAGCGUUGUCCGGAAUUAUUGGGCGUAAAGAGCGCGUAGGCGGUCCGGUAAGUCGGCUGUGAAAGUCAAGGGCUCAACCCUUGAAAGCCGGCCGAUACUGUCGGACUAGAGUCCGGAAGAGGCGAGUGGAAUUCCCGGUGUAGCGGUGAAAUGCGCAGAGUAUCAGGAGGAACACCAAUUGCGAAGGCAGCUCGCUGGGACGUUACUGACGCUGAGGAGCGAAAGCGUGGGGAGC